rnacentral:rRNA from 1 species
UACGGAGGGUGCAAGCGUUAUCCGGAUUCACUGGGUUUAAAGGGCGCGUAGGCGGACAGGUAAGUCAGUGGUGAAAUCUCCGAGCUUAACUCGGAAACUGCCGUUGAUACUAUUUGUCUUGAAUAUUGUGGAGGUAAGCGGAAUAUGUCAUGUAGCGGUGAAAUGCUUAGAUAUGACAUAGAACACCAAUUGCGAAGGCAGCUUACUACACAACAAUUGACGCUGAGGCACGAAAGCGUGGGGAUCAAACAGG